rnacentral:rRNA from 1 species
AUGUCGCGUACAAAAUUUCUUUCUUCCACGUUGAAUUUAUUACUGACUGGACAGAGAAAAAUGCAAUCUUCCCACCGUCCCUGCAAUCUCCUAUGCCCGGUGGCGCCAUAUGCGGCCGCCGCACCCCGUCUUCAACAGCGGCCGCCGCAUCUUCUCGGAACCAAGCGCCUCCUCUCCCCUCCGCGCCGCCACUCUGAAGCCCGCCUUCUAUCCGGCAUGACCCCAAUGGCCACAUCCUCCUCCCCCACCGCGAACCCCCAGCCAUUCAAGUUGAUCCUGGGGUCUUCGUCAGUGGCCAGGAAGAACAUCCUGAACGAGAUGGGGUUCGAGUUCCAAGUCAUGACCGCGGACAUCGACGAGAGGAGCAUAAGAAGGGAGGAUCCGGAUGAGCUAGUCAUGCUUCUUGCGGAGGCCAAGGCUGAUGCUAUCAUGUCUAGAAUGAACAUUUCCGAUUACCAGAAGGAAGGCGACCAACCAACACUCCUGAUCACCUCUGACAUAGUGGUUGUCCAUGAAGGGAUUAUUAGAGAAAAGCCAAGCAGCAAAGAAGAAGCACGCCAAUUCCUGAAAGGUUAUUCUGGUGCGCAUGUGUCAACUGUGGGUGGUGUGGUUGUAACUAAUCUUACAACUGGCAAGAAGCUUGGCAGUUUAGACAAAGCUGAGGUGUACUUCCAUGACAUACCAGAUGAGAUAAUUGAGAACCUGAUCGAUGAGGGGGUAGUAUUUAGGGUUGCGGGCGGCCUGCUGCUAGAACAUCCAUUGGUGUUGCCGCUUGUUGAAGCAGUGGUUGGUUCUAGUGACAGUGUAAUGGGGCUAUCAAAGGAUCUGGCAAACAAACUCAUUCACGAGGCAUUGUUGGCAUAG